rnacentral:piRNA from 1 species
AGGAAUGAAUGUAGCUCAGGU